AGAAGGUCCCAAGGGUUUGGCUGUUCGCCAAUUAAAGCGGUACGUGAGCUGGGUUUAGAACGUCGUGAGACAGUUCGGUCCCUAUCUGUUGUGGGCGCAUGAUAUUUGAGAGGAGCUGCUCGUAGUACGAGAGGACCCGAGUGGACGAACCUCUAGUGUACCAGUUGUCGCGCCAGCGGCAUAGCUGGGUAGCUACGUUCGGAAGGGAUAAGCGCUGAAAGCAUCUAAGUGCGAAGCCCACCUCAAGAUUAGAUAUCACUCCGCCAUUAGGCGGACUAAAGGCUCCUUGGAGAUUACAAGGUGAUAGGCCACAGGUGUAAGUGCAGUAAUGCAUUCAGCCGAGUGGUACUAAUAAGCCGUGAGGCUUACUUA
rnacentral:rRNA from 1 species